CGUAAAUUUUCAAGACGUUUGGAGAACUUUGAUUUCUGCACAAAAAUAACACCAAGGCAAUUCUGUUGAAAACAACGUCAGUCCAGGUUAGUUCCAUUCAAAUCAUGCAAAUUAGAGUCCAAAACAAGGGCAAAAGAGUUUGGAAAAGUAGAUACAACGGAGACGUAUCACUCACCCAUAUCAUGGAAGCUUUUCAAGACCCUCUGUUCAAGGUCCGCCUGCGGACAACAACCACCUUUAAAGGAUACUAUCCAUCCCUUCUAAGAAUCAUAGGAGAAAUUUCACAGCUAGAAGCAGGGCGGACAUCAAGUCACCCAUGGAAGACCAAAGAGGAAAAGUUGCUUUGAAAUAUGUUGUUGAAAACAAUAGUUACUUGUAACAGUUGCCUUGGCACCAUUAAUUAUAAAAAUUCCUAACAAAUAUUUUUAUAUACUCUUUUAUAGUAUUUUUUAAUAUAUAUGUUUCUUGCUUAGUGGCGCCAAAGGGUAGAUUUGUUCAAUAAAUAUCAGGUGCGAUCGGCUAAUAGACCGGCGACUAGGAUGAAAAUACCGCCCCAAGCACUACCCCGUCACUACUUUUUAAGUGUUUGGUUUCUCAGAUAUUGCUUUAUAUGCAUUGGUUCUGAAUUAUGUCUUGGGGAAAUAAUUGGGUUGCCCCACUCCUAUGGUUACCCCCUUACGUUGUGCUAGUUCGGCUAAAGGGGUAAAGGGAGAACCACCGCGAUUGUGUUCCCAGCUGGCCUGACUAAGAUACCUCAGUGGAGAAAACCGAAAACCGACUGUCAUAAUAAGUGAGAACUCGUCUGCAAUCCAAACUUAAGCACUAAAGAACGAUGGAGGUUUUAUUCCGUGUCAUACGGAGGGAUUUGUACGUUUGCAAACCUUGUGGUAACUAUUUGAAAAUCCGGCUUAUUCGACUAGCACAAAAAACUGGGGACGUAACCACCCCCCGAAUUCAAGCUCAUAAGGCUAAGUGAAAGCACGAAAGACACAUAGUCUAAUUGCCUCAUUUCCUUCACACAGUACCGUCUCUGGGCACCAAUAUAUCGGCUAAGGGUUACAGUAUGGAUGUCGAAACACCCUUUGUAGUUUCUACAUGGGGGCCGAAGCCAACGAUGGGAAACUUUCAGAUUAAAUGGCCAAACA
rnacentral:lncRNA from 1 species